rnacentral:rRNA from 1 species
UACGUAGGUGGCAAGCGUUAUCCGGAAUUACUGGGCGUAAAGCGCACGCAGGCGGUCUUUUAAGUUUGACGUGAAAGCUCCCGGCUUAACUGGGAGAGGUCGUUGAAGACUGGAAGACUUGAGGCAAUGAGAGGGGUGUAGAAUUCCCGGUGUAGUGGUGGAAUGCGUAGAUAUCAAGUGGAACACCAGUGGCGAAGGCGAAUCCCUGGAAAAUACCUGACACUGAGGCACUAAAGCUAGGGGAGCAAACAGG